rnacentral:rRNA from 1 species
AGAGUCCUACGGGACGCAGCAGUGGGGAAUAUUGCGCAAUGGGCGAAAGCCUGACGCAGCGACGCCGCGUGAGGGAUGAAGGUCUUCGGAUCGUAAACCUCUGUCAGCAGGGAAGAACGGUCACUGUGCUAAUCAGCAGUGAAUUGACGGUACCUGCAAAGGAAGCACCGGCUAACUACGUGCCAGCAGCCGCGGUAAUACGUAGGGGGCUAGCGUUAUCCGGAAUUACUGG